rnacentral:rRNA from 1 species
AGCGCAUACGGUGGAUGCCUUGGCAGUCAGAGGCGAUGAAAGACGUGGUAGCCUGCGAAAAGCUUCGGGGAGUCGGCAAACAGACUGUGAUCCGGAGAUGUCUGAAUGGGGGAACCCAGCCAUCAUAAGAUGGUUAUCUUACACUGAAUACAUAGGUGUAAGAGGCGAACCAGGGGAACUGAAACAUCUAAGUACCCUGAGGAAAAGAAAUCAACCGAGAUUCCCUUAGUAGUGGCGAGCGAACGGGGACCAGCCCUUAAGUUGUAUUGAGAUUAGCGGAACACUCUGGAAAGGGUGGCCAUAGUGGGUGAUAGCCCUGUACGCGAAAAUCCCUUUGCAAUGAAAUCGAGUAGGACGGGGCACGAGAAACCUUGUCUGAAUAUGGGGGGACCAUCCUCCAAGGCUAAAUACUACUGACUGACCGAUAGUGAACCAGUACCGUGAGGGAAAGGCGAAAAGAACCGCGGAGAGCGGAGUGAAAUAGAUCCUGAAACCGUAUGCGUACAAGCAGUGGGAGCCCACUUUGUUGGGUGACUGCGUACCUUUUGUAUAAUGGGUCAGCGACUUAUUUUCAGUGGCGAGCUUAACCGAAUAGGGGAGGCGUAGCGAAAGCGAGUCUUAAUAGGGCGUCUAGUCGCUGGGAAUAGACCCGAAACCGGGCGAUCUAUCCAUGGGCAGGUUGAAGGUUGGGUAACACUAACUGGAGGACCGAACCGACUACCGUUGAAAAGUUAGCGGAUGACCUGUGGAUCGGAGUGAAAGGCUAAUCAAGCUCGGAGAUAGCUGGUUCUCCUCGAAAGCUAUUUAGGUAGCGCCUCAUGUAUCACUGUAGGGGGUAGAGCACUGUUUCGGCUAGGGGGUCAUCCCGACUUACCAAACCGAUGCAAACUCCGAAUACCUACAAGUGCCGAGCAUGGGAGACACACGGCGGGUGCUAACGUCCGUCGUGAAAAGGGAAACAACCCAGACCGUCAGCUAAGGUCCCAAAGUCAUGGUUAAGUGGGAAACGAUGUGGGAAGGCUUAGACAGCUAGGAGGUUGGCUUAGAAGCAGCCACCCUUUAAAGAAAGCGUAAUAGCUCACUAGUCGAGUCGGCCUGCGCGGAAGAUGUAACGGGGCUCAAACCAUGCACCGAAGCUACGGGUAUCAUCUUAUGAUGAUGCGGUAGAGGAGCGUUCUGUAAGCCUGUGAAGGUGAGUUGAGAAGCUUGCUGGAGGUAUCAGAAGUGCGAAUGCUGACAUGAGUAACGACAAUGGGUGUGAAAAACACCCACGCCGAAAGACCAAGGUUUCCUGCGCAACGUUAAUCGACGCAGGGUUAGUCGGUCCCUAAGGCGAGGCUGAAAAGCGUAGUCGAUGGAAAACAGGUUAAUAUUCCUGUACUUCUGGUUAUUGCGAUGGAGGGACGGAGAAGGCUAGGCCAGCCUGGCGUUGGUAGUCCAGGUUUAAGGUGGUAGGCUGAGAUCUUAGGUAAAUCCGGGAUCUUAAGGCCGAGAGCUGAUGACGAGUGUUCUUUUAGAACAUGAAGUGGUUGAUGCCAUGCUUCCAAGAAAAGCUUCUAAGCUUCAGGUAACCAGGAACCGUACCCCAAACCGACACAGGUGGUUGGGUAGAGAAUACCAAGGCGCUUGAGAGAACUCGGGUGAAGGAACUAGGCAAAAUGGCACCGUAACUUCGGGAGAAGGUGCGCCGGUGAGGGUGAAGCAUUUACUGCGUAAGCCCACGCCGGUCGAAGAUACCAGGCCGCUGCGACUGUUUAUUAAAAACACAGCACUCUGCAAACACGAAAGUGGACGUAUAGGGUGUGACGCCUGCCCGGUGCCGGAAGGUUAAUUGAUGGGGUUAGCGCAAGCGAAGCUCUUGAUCGAAGCCCCGGUAAACGGCGGCCGUAACUAUAACGGUCCUAAGGUAGCGAAAUUCCUUGUCGGGUAAGUUCCGACCUGCACGAAUGGCGUAACGAUGGCGGCGCUGUCUCCACCCGAGACUCAGUGAAAUUGAAAUCGCUGUGAAGAUGCAGUGUAUCCGCGGCUAGACGGAAAGACCCCGUGAACCUUUACUAUAGCUUUGCACUGGACUUUGAAUUUGCUUGUGUAGGAUAGGUGGGAGGCUUUGAAGCGUGGACGCCAGUCUGCGUGGAGCCAACCUUGAAAUACCACCCUGGCAACUUUGAGGUUCUAACUCAGGUCCGUUAUCCGGAUCGAGGACAGUGUAUGGUGGGUAGUUUGACUGGGGCGGUCUCCUCCUAAAGAGUAACGGAGGAGUACGAAGGUGCGCUCAGACCGGUCGGAAAUCGGUCGUAGAGUAUAAAGGCAAAAGCGCGCUUGACUGCGAGACAGACACGUCGAGCAGGUACGAAAGUAGGUCUUAGUGAUCCGGUGGUUCUGUAUGGAAGGGCCAUCGCUCAACGGAUAAAAGGUACUCCGGGGAUAACAGGCUGAUACCGCCCAAGAGUUCAUAUCGACGGCGGUGUUUGGCACCUCGAUGUCGGCUCAUCACAUCCUGGGGCUGAAGCCGGUCCCAAGGGUAUGGCUGUUCGCCAUUUAAAGUGGUACGCGAGCUGGGUUUAGAACGUCGUGAGACAGUUCGGUCCCUAUCUGCCGUGGACGUUUGAGAUUUGAGAGGGGCUGCUCCUAGUACGAGAGGACCGGAGUGGACGAACCUCUGGUGUUCCGGUUGUCACGCCAGUGGCAUUGCCGGGUAGCUAUGUUCGGAAAAGAUAACCGCUGAAAGCAUCUAAGCGGGAAACUUGCCUCAAGAUGAGAUCUCACUGGAACCUUGAGUUCCCUAAAGGGCCGUCGAAGACUACGACGUUGAUAGGUUGGGUGUGUAAGCGCUGUGAGGCGUUGAGCUAACCAAUACUAAUUGCCCGUGAGGCUUGACC